GUCAAAAGAAACUAACUUUAUUUUUAGAACCACACACGCCAAACAAAACAGCCUCUCAGGAAAAACCCUCAGAGCCUCAACUGCCACCACCGGCUUCCCACCAGCCUCUCUCUCCCACCACCGGCUUCUCUCCACCUCCCACAAUCCUCCUGCUCUUGAGGCCGAUUGGCUGGGUCACGUGGGCGGAGCCAAAAAAGUCCCCCAAUGAGCAUCUCCGUGGUCUGAAAGGGCAGGGAAAC
rnacentral:lncRNA from 1 species